CCCUCCGCGCCUCCCUGGAGAAGAAGAGCGGGGCGAAGGAGGCGGAGGGAACGCGGCGCGUGAAAGCGAAUGGUGGGCGAGCUGAGAGAGCGAGACUGUACCACGAAAGAAGCGCUGCGCAGCCUUAUCGCCAGGAGGGGAGGAGGCCAAGGGGCCGUGCUGGUUUCCCGCCCUUUCUUUCCGGUCGAGGUGGGUCUAAGAUGAGCCUACAGGCCCCGCUGGGUGGUGCACCACAGGCACCCCACCCCUGAUUUAUGUACAGACUAGUGGUACCUCAGGUUAACUACUUAAUUGGUUCUGGAAGUCCGCACUUAACCUGAAGCGAACUUUCCCAUUGAAAGUAAUGGAAAGUAGAUUAAUCCGUUCCAGACGGGUCCACAGAGUACUUAAAUUGAAAGUACUCAACCUGAAGCGUACCUAACUCGAGGUAUGACUGUAUUUUUAUUCAUCCCAUCCUCCAAGGCUGUGGUUUCCAAACUUAGGAUCAUAAAAAGACUGCCUUAUCUGAGUCAGACCAUUGGUCCACAUUAAGGUAAAAGGUAAAAGACCCCUGGACGGUGAAGUCCGGUCAAAGGCGACUAUGAGGGUGCGGCACUCAUCUCGCUUUCAGGCCGAGGGAGAUGGCGUUUGUCCACAGACAGCUUUCCUGGUCAUGUGGCCAGCAUGACUAAACCUCUUCAGGUGCAACAGAACACCAUGAUGGAAGCCAGAGCGCACGGAAAUGCCGUUUAUCUUCCCGCCACAGCGGUACCUAUUCAUCUACUCAUGCUGUUGACAUUCCCUGAACACACACCUUUUUGGGUCAGAGGGAGAAGACUGGGAAGAGGAGGGGUCGGAAGCUGAAGAGGCACUUAGUGAUCUGGCAGAGUCCGUGGCAGAGAGAAGUGCAAAAGCUGAAGCUGGUGAGUGGGAGGAGGGAGGCAAAGAGGCACAGAUGAGGCUGGUGAAGUCACUGGUGUCUCUUCUGCCGUGUGACAAGCUCCCCCCCUGUCCCCCAGAACCAGAAGAGGGCUGAAACAGGCAGAGCAGUGACAUACUUUGUGGAAGCAUAGUCUCCAAUUGCUUGAAAAGAGCUCUGUGGAGAGGAAGGGACUUAGAUGGUUGUGGGAAGGCAGGGACUUUCAGUCUUGGCAACUGAUUCAUGGGGUAAGGCCUACCAGGGAUGAACUGCUGUGCUCAUUUGGUCUGACACUGAGACAAGCUAAUAAAGAGUUAACUCCUACUUUCAACAGUGUGAUUUACUGCCGGCUCACUCUUUGACAUCUAAUCCACCAAACCUACAACAACUUGUUUAGUCGUUAAGGAGCCCCUAGACGUGCUUAUCUUUUGCCACAUACAUAAAAUAUGUGUAUUUUACAGAACCUUUUUCUUAUCAAUUUUUAGUCAAAUCACUAUUUCUCCCCAGCCCUCUUAUAUUUAGGAUUGUGGUGCUCACUGUGUUCUUUACAUUGUUGUUGGUUUAUUUUUAACAGGACACAAAAUCCUGAGAAGAAGAAGAAGAAGAAGAAGAAGAAGAAGAAGAAGAAGAAGAAGAAGAAGAGUUUGGAUUUGAUAUCCCGCUUUAUCACUACCUGAAGGAGUCUCAAAGCGGCUAACAAUCUCCUUUCCCUUCCUCCCCCACAACAAACACUCUGUGAGAGACCAACUAUUGGGUGGAAAGACGCUCAGUGACUAUGAGGAGGAAAACCUCUUCACAAUGCAAAGCCAAGAGGGCAAUGAGAAAAUUACAUCUGUAUUUACAGAGAAGACCCUGAAAAUGCAGUGACUCAUCAC